CGGUAGCUCAGCCGGAUAGAGCGAUCGCCUCCUAAGCGAUAGGUCGCAGGUUCGAAUCCUGCCCGGG
rnacentral:tRNA from 1 species